GUUCCUAUAGCUCAGUUGGUUAGAGCGUUGGUCUUAUGAGCCGAAGGUCGUGGGUUCGAGCCCCUCUAGGAACA